GGAGGGUUCGCAUAGUGGCCUAGUGCGCCCGCCUGCUAAGCGGGUUUCGGGGAAACUCGAUCGAGGGUUCGAAUCCCUCACCCUCCGCCA
rnacentral:tRNA from 2 species